rnacentral:misc_RNA from 1 species
AUAAGAGGCAUUCGUUUCUUUUGGAACUUUAGAAACAAGAAUCCCAAGCCCUUGUCCCCGGUUUCGUAAAACUUUGAAUGCGUCCUCAUCAGUCCGAUCAUCACCGAUAUAGACGGGUAGAACAUUGUUAGAAUUAGCAUAUCCUAGCGAUUCUAAUAAGAAUUCCAGAGCUUUGCCCUUAUCCCAUUUAAUGAUUGGUCGGAUUUCUAAAACCUUCCUCCCUUGAGUUAGUCUAAGCUUGGGAUAAUCAUUAAGUGCUGAUCCUACCUGUUCAGCUAAUGCAGCCCACAUCUUUUCAUCAACACAUCUGAAGUGUACGGAUAUGCAAAAUUUGUUAUUUUCCACUUUAGCACCAGGGAUGGAUUUUGUUUUCUCUAUCAGAACUUUGUACACCUCAUCAAUCAUGGGCAAGAAUUUACUGGCAGGUUGAAACAGUAGAGCUUGAUGAUCUUUUUUGUAUUUGCGAGUUUUGGAUGGUCCCUUUAUGUCCAUGCCAUGGCUACCUGCAUAGUAAAGCCCCGCCAAUUUUACAAAGCUGUAGACCUUGUCUCUGCACCUUCCAGUGACUAUAGCUGUAGGAAAAUAUCUUGCAACAUCCCUAACAGCCUCUCUCAUUUCAUUAGUCAUGAAUGCUCGAUCAGGAUCUUCAACAAUGGGUGAGAGUGUACCAUCAUAAUCAAGAAACAUCACAAUCUGCUUUCCCUUAGAAGCAUUCACUAUUUGGUGGAACAUGCUUAAAGCCGAAGGAUGUUUGAGAAUCCAGGAAUUUUUUUCCUCGGUUUCAGAUAAAGAAGAGGUGGAUUUGACACGGGUAGGGGAAGAAUCUCUCAUUGAAUUAACCCAAACAUUAGUUUUGGCUACUUCUGCAGCAGCUGCUGCUGCUGCUGCUCCACCUGUUUCAAUCAUCUUUGCAAGUCUAGGAGCAGGUAAUGGCUUUGGCAUAGCCGGUGAAAAUAAAGAUUUGUGCAAGAGAAUACAGCUGAUCCUGAUAUUUUUACCCGAUUUCGCAUCGGAUGAUAUCACAUUCUGGUUCGUCAUUCCCUCUUUGAAAAGGCAGCAGAGAGAACUCAACACACACACUG